CUCAUGGGGGUGCACAAGCCCAGAGGGUCUCUGCUGGAUCCUCUCUGCCCGAACCCCACCUGCCCUUCUCCCCCGCCCUCACUCUGGCUGUGCGGGGUCCCCUGAAGCCGCUGUUCCCAGAGUCCCAGAUUUCUCUUCCCCAGUGCAGAGAUGGCCUUCACCUGUUUGGGGUGGGAAGCUUCGGCCUCGGAUCCAGGAGUGAGGGUGGCACAGGGAGGCCGGGUGCUUUUACUGUUUGUCACAGUGACAGCCGGUUAGC